GUGUACCGCGACGUCGGAGUGGCAGCAGAAUGCAGGAGUAACUGUUUCCACAACGAGGUGUUCCUGUACUGCGUGGACUACAUGUUCCGGCCUCGCCAGAGGAACCAGUACCGGGCCGCCCUCCAGAGGCUCGGCAAGUAGGCGGUUCGUCUUCAGCCAGACCUUCUGCGGGGACGCUCGCCAUGCGACUCCCCAGACGACCAGACUCCAGAUCCUUCUUUGGUUGCUUUUGUGUCCUGAGUUUAUAGGAGAAAUAACGAUGGCGAAGCGCUUUCUAGCCUGAACAAUAUGUCCUUCAAUUUAAUAAAACAUACGGGAA